AAUGAAACUUAAAAUGUAGUUUCCCAGUUACAUUAGCCCCAGUGAAUAGUGAUUACCAUAGUGAAUAGAGCAGAUGCAGAACAGCCUCAUCACUGCAGAAAGUUCUAGUAAGUGGGCAGCUUUGCGCUUGAGGCUGCACCUGGCAGAAAAGGCAUUCUCAUAGAGGUACCACACUCACACUCGAGUGUACCAGCUCCAGCCUCAAAAACACGCAUUUCUUUUUCUAGGAAGGAGCAAAGGCUUAAGUGCAGAGAGAGGGUAGAAGAACCUUGGGUGGGGGCCAGUUGUGAGGUUGCCUAGCAACCUGGCUGGGCAGCAGGCGUGAGGAAAGGCUCGCAGCUGACCUGUCAGAUGAGCAGCCACGGCCAGCGGGUCAGAGCCAAAGAAUGGAGCAGUCAAGGCGAAAGAACCUGUUACAGAAUAGCCAGUGGGUGGAUGGGAACAUGGGUGGUGCGUGUACAAGCAGCUGAGAGAAUGGCUGGGCAGAUGGGAAGGUGGACGCACAAACAGGAAGGGGACACCAGAGACUACCCUGUUGCUGGCUUCUACGAACACCAGCCUGACGGGUGUUACUGCCUUCACCUGGCACUGUGUAUUUAUGGUUUUUAGUAGCCUAAACCACGUUUAUCUUGUUCACCAAUGUAUUAUUAAUAGUAUUAUUAAAUUACUGUAUCUGGCCAAUA